GUCUUCCCGCGCGGUAGCCUCCCUGUUCUCUCCGGUCCUUAGAGCUCGCUGUCUGUCCGGCUCUUUUGCUUUUUAACUUCCAGGACUCGAACUCACAGCCAUGUCUUCUGAAGAAGGAAAGCUCUUUGUGGGAGGGCUCAACUUUAACACCGAUGAGCAGGCACUGGAAGACCACUUCAGCAGCUUUGGCCCUAUUUCUGAGGUGGUUGUUGUCAAGGACCGGGAGACUCAGCGAUCCCGGGGUUUUGGCUUCAUCACCUUCACCAACCCAGAGCAUGCCUCAGAUGCCAUGAGAGCCAUGAAUGGAGAGGGGGUGGAGGGCAGCGGCAGACAGAGCCGGGCUGCCUGGGAGGCGACGACUGGUCCUGCAUGAGGCCGAGAAGCCACCCGUGGAUGGUUGACCUGCCUUGGGCUUAGGUAGUAGAGUCUGCAGACCUGUGGGCCUGGCCCGGAGAGGACCUCGUGAGUCUUCUGGGAUGGACUCUGAAGCCUCAAACCAAGAGAGGUGUCAAUCUAGCCCUAAUAGUCGGGCAGCUUAGAGGAGUGGGGAGGAGAACUCAGCCUGAGUUCAGUCAAGAUUCCCUGGACGGUCGCCAGAUCCGUGUUGACCAUGCAGGCAAGUCUGCCCGGGGAACCAGAGGGGGUGCUUUUGGGGCCCGUGGUCGUGGCUACUCUAGAGGUGGUGGGGACCAAGGCUAUGGGAGUGGCAGAUAUGACAGCCGACCUGGAGGAUAUGGAUAUGGAUAUGGACGGUCCAGAGACUAUGGUGGCAGAAACCAGGGUGGUUAUGACCGCUACUCAGGAGGAAAUUACAGAGACAAUUAUGACAACUGAGAUGAGACAUGCACACAUAAUGUAGAUACACAAGGAAUAACACUUCUGAUCCAGGAUCGUCCUUCCAAAAUGGCUGUAUUUAUAAAAGAUUUUUGGAGCUGCACUGAAACAUCUGUUUUUAUUACACCAACUUCUAUUUUUCAAUUGCGCUCCCAAGGUAGCUUAUUAAAGACCUUUUAGAAAGCUCCAUGUGUUUUUAAAAUUUUUCUCUCCCAUUUAAAGACAAAUUCUAGGACAUUUGUAGAGUCUGGGUAUUUUUUCUUUGAUGAGUUUUUUAGUUUAGGAUCUCAGGAUUAUUGGUUCUAGCAAUAAUGGGUUCUGGCAAGUUUGGCCAGACUGAUAAAAAUUAAUGUGUAUCAAGGGACAUUUAAGAAAAUUCUGUAUACAAUGUUUAUUAUGGUUAUGAAGCAAUUUCAAAAUGUACCUAUAAGAAAUCUGCAUCAAGAACAUGAUUACCUAGGGGCGUUUUUUUACUCAAGAUCACCAACCUGGUUAUAUAGAAGAGCUUCUUAAAAAUGUAUGUGAAUGUCAUUUUUUUAAAAUACUGGAAAAAAAUAUUCUGUUGUGUCUCAUAUAGUGUUUAGGAUGUCCUUCACGGAGCUGAUUAAAAAGUUGAAACCUGAAAA